GAUGAACGCUGGCGGCGUGCCUAAUACAUGCAAGUCGAGCGAACGGACGCGACGCUUGUUGCGUGGUCGUUAGGGGCGCGCGGGUGUAAAACACGUGUAAAACGUCCCUAAAAGACGGGGAAAAUUUGGGAACUCGGGAGCUAAUCGGGGAGAAUAUUUUGAACCACGGGGUGGAAAGGAAAGAUUCGGCGUUGGUGUAUGUACUAGCGGCUUCGGCGCUGCAUUGGCUGGUAGUGAAGUUAAAGGGUUACCAAGGCAAGGAUGCAUAGCCGACCGAAGAGGGUGAUCGGCCACACUGGAACGGAGCCACGGUCCAGACUCCUACGGGAGGCAGCAGUCGGGAAUGUUACGCAAUGGGCGAAAGCCUGACGCAGCAACGCCGCGUGUGUGAUGAAGGCCUUCGGAUCGGAAAACCCUGUUAUUAGGGAAGAACAGAUGUGUACUUAGAUGUGGAGAUCGUGACGGUACCUAAUCAGAAAGCCCCGGCUAACUACGUG
rnacentral:rRNA from 1 species